AGAAGAAGCACAUUUGUCUCAACGUCUAUGUUGAGGUUCAAAAGGGAAAGGGAAGUGGGUAAUCUGGAUCUGGUUUUGUUCUGUGCUCCUCAAAACACAGACCAGUGCCCCAAAACCCAUUUCCUGGUUUCCAUUCUCCUAUUUGGGAAAGUAUUUCUCCUGUAUUCAGGUCUCCUUCAACACAAGACAACCAGCACCAACAGCAGUACAGCCAACCCACGAUUUUCUAUGCUGGAACAGUCAAUGUUUAUGAAGUGUCUCCAGACCUGGCAGAAGCCAUAAUGGUGAUGGCUAACAGAGAAAGUAGUUCCACAUCCUCAUUUACCCAUCAAAUUCUCACCACUACAUGUGCAGGAAAAAUGUCUUCAGUGGACCACACUGAUCAGAGCCAACCCUCUAUCACACAAAAGCCUGCAAACUUUCCACUUGCUCAACAGAAUUCUCUUCAGCACUUUCUGGUGAAAAAGAAUGCCAAGGCAGCUGUGAAUGCCCAUCUUCACCAAAACUGACCAACUAAUCUCUCUCUUUCUCCUUUAAAAUCUCACCCUUGACAGCCAGUAGUUUCUUCUUGUUAGAGAGUACAAUCAUGGUGAAGUACAUUAACUGAAGAUUACUGGACUUCUUCAAUUUUGUUUAACAUUUCUUACUCUGGCUAUCAUACUGGCAUUACAACCCUUUCUCGCGCGCAGGGUUCGACUCCCAGAAGUGACGUUUCGAAGCUUGUGUUCCUACAACGUGUGUUCAACCAUAUGCCCAUCCCUGUAGUAUGAAGGUCUUAAAUAGUUAUGGUUUCAUUAAGUUUUGAAUUGGCAAUGCACAAUUUUGCAUUCCUGGUUGUGACAUAUGGAUAUACAAUGUGAAUCUAACUAUA